rnacentral:rRNA from 1 species
CUACGGGCGGCUGCAGUGAGGAAUAUUGGUCAAUGGGCGAAAGCCUGAACCAGCCAUGCCGCGUGAAGGAUGACGGCCCUAUGGGUUGUAAACUUCUUUUAUACGGGAAGAAACACCUCUACGUGUAGAGGUUUGACGGUACCGUACGAAUAAGCAUCGGCUAACUGCGGUGCCAGCAGCCGCGGUAAUACGGAGGAUGCAAGCGUUAUCCGGAUUUAUUGGGUUUAAAGGGUACGUAGGCGGAAACUUAAGUCAGUAGUGAAAUCCCGCAGCUUAACUGUGGAACUGUUAUUGAUACUGGGUUUCUUGAAUAUUGUUGAGGUAGGCGGAAUAAGUAAUGUAGCGGUGAAAUGCUUAGAUAUUACUUAGAACACCGAUUGCGAAGGCAGCUUACUAAGCAAUUAUUGACGCUGAGGUACGAAAGCGUGGGGAGCGAACAGGAUUAGAUACCCUGGUAGUC